rnacentral:tRNA from 1 species
AGCGGUGUAGCCUAGUGGAAAGAGCACAGGCCUGAGAGUCUGAGGACCUGGGUUUUCAUCCCGGCUCUGCCA